ensembl:lncRNA
GUAUGUAGCCUACCAGGCUGGCUUUAGUCUGCUGGUUUGGGAUGCCAUCAUAUUUGAGUGUUAUACUGUAUUGGUCACGUGUGUUUCAUUGAAAAUAUGAAACCUUUGACCAGUAAUGUACAGUACUUACUCUAUAUUGAAUCCUGAUAUACUGUUGAUUACUCUCCAAUGCUCCACAGGAACAUGCCAACCUGCAACCUCCUGUUAAGUGGGGCCAUUCAUUUUACUGGAUGUUUGGCCACACAGACACUAAGAAUGUUUUCCUUGUUUGGCCUGCAGUGCAUCAGUGCGAGCAAUUUCUUUCGCCAUCAGCGCCACUACACCAUCCCUGUAAUCGUUCAGGCCUGGCAGAAUGAUCAAGCCAAGAAUUUUAGUGACCUACGGGCAAUGGAUGGCGGGCUAGUUCUUGCUGGUGACUGCAGUUAAACCAAUAGCUCAGAGGUCCCCAACAGCUCAUGGUGUGAGCUUGAAGGGCUCAAGCGCAGUGUUGGCCUGCUGAGGGGAAACGACCUGCAUUUGGCAACGCUGAUCACGGACCGACAUCGCCAGGCUCAUUGGCAGCAGUCAAGUUGGAGAACAUAAUGAUGAGGACUGCCUUACUGAAAGAUGUUCGACAGCUGUCUCCACAGCACCAGACCUUCUCCCUUGAGGCUUACCACUCCCUCAUCUUGCACUUCGCGCCCAAGCACACAGGGUUUUCAUACCUUGGGAUGUAUAGCAGGCUUCUCUUAGCGGCGCUGCAUUAUAAUUAUUGCAGUAUUCUUCGAAGAAAGUUGUCCAAUCCCGGUUUGCUUUUAACUCACUUUAUUUGUUACAAAGUAGGCAUGUUUCGGUAUGGUAACUAUGAAGCUUAAGGG